AUGUUUCAAUUUAUUAUAUUUAUUGAAUUGGCUUUACUGAUUGGUAGAUCAAUACCAACAGCUGCACAAACAACAACUCCACCAACAUUAAAUGCAGCAACAUCAACCAGUCUGUCAACAACAAUUGCACCCACCUCAGCAACAGUUGCAUCAACAUCUACCACUCCAUCAACAACAACUGCAGCAACAUCAACCAUUUCAUCAACACCAAAUGCACCAGCCAUAACAUCAACGGCACCAACAUCUACCACUCCAUCAACAACAACUGCACCAACAUCAACCACUCUAUCAACAACUACUGCACCCACCUCAGAAACAACUGCACCAACAUCUACCACUUCAUCAACAGGUACUGCACCAGCCACAACAUCAACGGCAUUGACAUCUACCACUCCAUCAAGAACAACUGUACCAACAUCAACCACUUUGUCAACAACAACUACACCAGCCACAACAUCAUUGGCAUCAACAUCUACCACUCCAUCAAUAACAACUGUCCCAACAUCAACCACUCUGUCAACAACAACUGCACCAACAUCUACCUCUCCAUCAAUAACAACUGCACCAACAUCCACCACUCUGUCAACAACAGCUGCACCAACAUCUACCACUCCAUCAACAACAACUGUACCAACAUCAACCACUCUGUCAACAACACCGGCACUAACCUCUGCAACAACUGCACCAACAUCUACCACUCCAUCAACUACUGCUGCACCAACCUCAACAUCAACUGCACCAACAUCUACCACUCCAUCAACAACAACUGUACCGACAUUUACCACUCUGUCAAUAACAACUGCACCAACAUUUACCACUCCAUCACCAACUACUGCACCAACAUUUACCACUCUAACAACAACUGCUGCACCAACCUCAACAUCAAAUGCACCAGCAUUUACCACUCUGCCGACAACUGGUGCAUCAACCUCAACAACAACUGCACCAACAUCUACCACUUUACCAACAACUCCUGCACCAACUUUAAAAUCAACUGCACCAACAUCUACCACUUUACCAACAACAGCUGCACCAACCUCAACAACAACUGCACCAACAUCUACCACUCCAUCAACGGCAACUGUACCAACAGUUACAACUCUGUCAACAACAACAACUACACCAUCAUUUACCACUCUACCGACAAGUGCUUCACCAACCUCAACAACUACUGCUGCACCAACCUCAACAUCAACUGCACCAACAUCUACCACUCCAUCAACAACAACUGCACUAACCUCAACAUCAAUUGAAUCAACAUCUACCAGUCCAUCAACAACAAUUGUACCGACAUUUACCACUCUGUCAACAACAACUGCACCAACAUUUACCACUCUACCAACAACUGCUACACCAACCUCAACAACAACUGUGCCAACCUCAACAUCAACUUCAUCAACAUAUACCACUCCAUCAACAACAACUAUACCAACAUCUACUACUCUAUCAACAACAACUGCACCAACAUCUACCACUCCAUCAACAGCAACUGUACCAACAUUUACCACUCUGUCAACAACAACAGCACCAACAUUUACCACUCCAUUAACACCAACUGCUGCACAAACAUCAACUUCACCAACAUCUGCUGCACCAACCUCAACAGCAAUUGCACCAACAUCUACCAUUCUGCCAACAACUGCUGGAUCAAUCUCAACAACAACUGCUGCACCAACC
ensembl:lncRNA